rnacentral:rRNA from 1 species
GUGGGGAAUAUUGGACAAUGGGCGAAAGCCUGAUCCAGCCAUGCCGCGUGAGUGAUGAAGGCCUUAGGGUUGUAAAGCUCUUUCAGUAGGGAAGAUAAUGACGGUACCUACAGAAGAAGCCCCGGCUAACUUCGUGCCAGCAGCCGCGGUAAUACGAAGGGGGCUAGCGUUGUUCGGAUUUACUGGGCGUAAAGCGCACGUAGGCGGAUUGGUCAGUUAGAGGUGAAAUCCUGGAGCUAAACUCCAGAACUGCCUUUAAUACUGCCAGUCUAGAGUCCAGAAGAGGUGAGUGGAACUCCUAGUGUAGAGGUGGAAGUCGUAGAUAUUAGGAAGAACACAAGUGGCGAAGGCGGCUCACUGGUCUGGUACUGACGCUGAGGUGCGAAAGCGUGGGGAGCAAACAGGAUUAGAUACCCCAGUAGUCC